rnacentral:rRNA from 1 species
UUGACCUCGGAUCAGGUAGGACUACCCGCUGAACUUAAGCAUAUCAAUAAGCGGAGGAAAAGAAACCAACAGGGAUUGCCCCAGUAACGGCGAGUGAAGCGGCAACAGCUCAGAUUUGGAAUCUGGCCCCCAGGGCCCGAGUUGUAAUCUGGAGAGGAUGCUUCUGGCGCGGCGCCUUCCGAGUUCCCUGGAACGGGACGCCGGAGAGGGUGAGAGCCCCGUACGGUCGGACGCCUAGCCUUUGUGAAGCUCCUUCGACGAGUCGAGUAGUUUGGGAAUGCUGCUCAAAAUGGGAGGUAAAUUUCUUCUAAAGCUAAAUAUUGGCCAGAGACCGAUAGCGCACAAGUAGAGUGAUCGAAAGAUGAAAAGCACUUUGAAAAGAGGGUUAAAAAGUACGUGAAAUUGUUGAAAGGGAAGCGCCCGUGGCCAGACUUGUGCCCCGUGGACCACCCAGCGCCCUCAGCGCUGGUGCACUCCGCGGGGCGCAGGCCAGCAUCGGUUUUUCCAGGGGGACAAAGGCGGCGGGAACGUGGCUCCCUCGGGAGUGUUAUAGCCCGCCGCGCCAUGCCCCUGGGGGGACCGAGGACCGCGCUUCGGCAAGGAUGCUGGC